GCUUCAGGCAGCUUGUCACAGAGUACGAACCUGAUGUGCAAGAGGUCCCACGUCUCUUUCGCUCGGUCCUACAGGAAGCCACUGAGAAAAUGAAAGAAGAGGAAGAGACAAAGAAAAUAGCAAAGCAAUGGAACACAAAGCGAGCCAUGAGCUUAUCUCUUACAACCUUCAAGUCUCGAGCCAGAAUUUAUCCUUUCGCUAGUGACAUUAAGACAAUUUCUGAAGAUGUUGAGAGAGAAGCAUUGCCCACACGAAGGGUAUGGAGUAUGCCUGAGUUUAAAACCACCAAAGAUGACUGAACCCAGUUUUUCAAAGGCAAAUUAACAAUAAAAAAACAUUUUUGUACUUGUGGGAGAUGUAUAACGAAGCGUUUUUUUUUCUUUUACCUUUUUAUACUUUCAUUUCUUUUUUAUGUCAUUUAGGUGAAUCUUGGAAACAAGUCUCUCAAACUCUAGGUAUUGUACUGCAUGUCACAUGAGCCUCAGGAAUGUGCUGAUUGAGAAUUAUAUGGAUUUUAGUUCAGCCUGGUUUUACAGUUAUUACAGUGACAUUAUAAGCAUCCAAACACUUUAGCUUAAUGAAGCGGUUUUAGUGUUUAGAUCAUGCCCCUGCAGUCUGACUGUUCGGAUCUCUGCCAUUUAGGAGUUAAAUCCCUUUGUUUAUGCAGCCCUAGUCACACCUCCCCUGCAUGUGACCUACACAGUCUCCCCUAGAUUUAUUUUAUUUCCUGUAAAGAGAAUGUUCAAACUUCCUUUAUUGCACAGUCUGUUUAAUUUAGAAUGUUGUAUCGUCUGCUUUGUUUGUAGCCUGGUAGAGCCUAUAGGAGCCUCCUGUGUGUGAUUAAAGUUCAAUCAACAGAGCAGGAUAUUAAAACGUCUAAAUUAAACACACUGAACUACUUGACAAUUAAACCUUUUUUUUCAUGAAGGUCGUGUGAGUCACAGCCUCUAGAGAGAGUGAAAGUGUGCGUGAAUUUGGAGGAGAACAUUGGCAAAUGUUGUAUGUGAUACACAGCUGUAUCCCAGUUCUUUCACGUAUAUAUGAGGUGUGGCUAGUGCUACAUAAACAGAAACAAAAGUGAUUUAACUCCUAAAUAGCUGAGAAUUGAGUAGUGAGACUGUAGGGGCAAUAUCUAUGCACACACACUGCUUCAGAAAGCUAAAGUUGUUUUGGUACUUUCACUUUAAUCAUUUUGCUAAAUGUUAUUUUUGUUACCAUGUCAAAAGUACUUAAGCAACAAGGGCUGUGCCUCUCUGUAUAAAAUGUCCAAAUUAAUUUAACUUCACAAUUAGUUUACUAAACCCCCCAAUGUUGUUUAUUAAAGUAAUGAAAACUAUUGGUCUUCCAGCUGCUGUGGACUACUUAGAUCUUAUGAUGCUCAGGCAGUAGAAUGGUCCAUAUUAACUGGAGUGCCAAUGUUUAGAGAUAGUCAACCUAUUUUAGCAAAGCUGUGCUUAGCAUUACAGCUGUGUGGAGUAUGUUUUUCUGUUGUAAUUGUAUUGUGAAGUAUCUCAUAUUUAGCAUAUUCUGUGAGUGUUCUAUUCAAACCAACUUUAUUAACAACAUGCUUUGCACAUUGUAUUGAAAAUACGUUCUUUUAAGCAGAAUUGAAGUUUACAUGAGUAGUCAUAAUGACUGUGUGAUAAGAACUACAAAUUAUCUACUAUCUGUGCAUCAAACUACAUUACUAAACUUAGUUUAUUCACAAAAUGUCACAUUUUGGACACUUAAAAGACAUCUGUCACCUCAUAACUAUUUUAAUAAAAUAUACAUUUCAUCUGGUUUUGAAAGGAAAUAGAUUUUUCUUAAAUGAUGUGCAUAGAAACAUUUAAAAAAACACAACCUUUAGUAUAUGACAGGAUCCUUCAGCCAUAUACAUACACAUUUGGUCAGAUGAAGUUUGAAAAGUCUCUAUGGUCUUCCCUGUUUCACUCCAUGCACAGAAGCUGAGAAGACCAUAGAGACUUACUGGAUGUUUUCAAACACUGUCUGUCUCAAGGUGCAUGUAAAAUGGCUGAAGGAUCCUGUCAUAUUAUAUAUUAUAAAUAUAAAAGUUUUAUUUGAUUAAAAAAUAAUUUGUAGGUGACAGUUGUCCUAUAAUGCUCAAGGAGUAUGAUGAAUAUAAAGUGCUAGAUACAUAUUUGUAGUGCAGAACAAAUUUGGAUCUCAAAUGGCUUUGGGUUAGUACCAGCUACGGAGGUCAAUUAAGGGACAUUUUCAGCAUCCAGAUUAGUGACUAUGCUGCCCCGUGGCACUGCAUUUUGCUUCAAUCUCAGCAGGGUUUUGAGGUCUCAGGACCUUGCUAAGUUUUGUGUCUAUCAGAGUUGAAACAAAAGCUUGCUCAAAUGUGCAGUCUCUCCAGUUAGACUUCUAGCAGAUGUAAUUGAAAUAAUGUCUUCUAUCCUGCUGAUAUGGUGCUUUUAUAUAUUAAAAUACACAAAACCCUGUCACAUUAUGGCAUUACUGGUAGAUUAGUUGGUUAUAUUAGUAACUGAAACAUAGAACCAUAGCAGCAUUGUUGGACUUAAGAAAAUGUUUGUGAAAUAAACCUUAAGGAGUUUUCACACCAUGGAUGGAUCCAUGAUACCAUUUUUGAUCUCAUUUAGCAUUGUGCCUGGGAGUCAGCUCAGUGUAACAUAUUGCAUUCUCCAACAGAAGAAAGUCUGUGGGUCAAACUGAUGUGUUAGUUAAUAUGAGCUUUAGGAUUGAAGUGCUGUCUUUAGAUUAGUCACAGUCAAGUAGAAACUCAGUUUCUGGGUAAAUUUGGAUUAAUAUGCUUUGAUUUAUUAAUAAUGAAAUUGAUCUUGCUUUAAAGUGGUUGUUUUUGUAUUAAAAUCUGUUCAUAAAUAACAAUAUGCAAAGGAAGGUUCAUCAUGAUUUAUUUAGUGGGAUACAAUUUUAAUUCCAAAGAGGAAGGAAUCCUUAACGUAAAUUCUCAAGACAAUAUUUGGAAAAUACACAAAAAAAAAAGGCAGCAUUAUAUUUGGUUAUUAUAUUGGUUUUAUGGCUAUAAAACAGUAAUGCUGGAUAAGAAAACCACUUACGUCCACCCAGUUUAAUGUUUUACGCAUUGCUGCUUACCUAUGGUAUAACUUUUUUUUUUUAAUAAUAUUGAGAAAAUGGCAAUAACAUCUUGCGACAUGUCUGCUCAGAACUUGCUUUUCAUAUGUGAAUGUGCUAGUUUUUGUGUGUUUAGAUAGAGAGUGAUCGCCAUGUAUUCUUUUUAAAUUCACGCCAUCGGUCUACGAAAUAAAAGGUGGGUCUGGUAAAAUGACCUUCACUCUUUUGUCAUUGUGUUUGGUGGGAUAGAAAUGUAGCCCAACUCGAACUACAGUCAAAUUUUCUUCUCACCGAUAAACUGGUCAGGAGCCUCAGGGUUCUUACAGAAGCAGAGGCCAUUACCAAUGUGUCGUCAAGAUUGGGUCCAAUUAUUCAAUAUGUACAACCAUUAGUAGAUUAUGGUAGCCUCUUGCAUAUCAUGCUGAAGUUGAAAGCUCACUGAGAAAUACAGCACCAAUGAGUUCUCUGGUCCAAGUAGAUUAUAUAACUGACCUUCCUGGGGUAUAUAGUUAGACCCAGAAUUGGGACCUCAAAUGUACUAGAACAAAUGUGAUUUGGAAUUACUGGUGUCGCCACUGCAGCGUUCGAUAGGAUAGAUAAGGGAAGACUGAUCUACCCUACUUCUGGUUUAAGUGAAUAAUGAUACAUGCUGCCGACAGGAUUGGCAUAUCGUUAGAUACAGAACACAGUUGAAUUGCUCCAGCCUUGUGGUUUUUGGGUGUUAGCAAUAAGUGAUACUAGAUAGCCAAUAAUGCGCUGGGCAGAUCACAGGUGUAUCCACCAAUUUGUGAGCGACAAUCUACCUGAGAAAAUUCUCCAUCAUGCCCUUAAGGUUAACCUUAGUAGGGGAACCAGGUCUUCAUGAAGUCAGGCCCUCAGAAAAUUGGUUCCAAAUGGUCUUCAGCACAGGACUAAUCAGAGAAACUGUUGUAGUGUAUAGGGAUUUUCACCAUCUUGGGCAGCAUGCUGCUCUUCCAUGCGAACAUGCCGUCACAUUAGUGUGUCAGUUGAUUUAUGUUCAAUAAUAAGAAGUGAUUCAUUUCUUUCCUCAGUUUCUCCAAUUCAUGUAGAAUAUUGCAUAUGAUAUUGUAAAACAUACAUGAAAGAACCAUUCCCUUUUGUUUGUUUGGUACUGCCAUGAACCAAGAUUGUCUUUUACUUCCAUUUUUACAAGGUAACAUGCACAGAUAUUGUAACAGGUAAGCUAUUUAGUUAAAGACUGUCAGUGUAUAUUCUAACAUUUAACACCAAUUGCAUUGCACUAGAAUGAAGUUAACACAGUAUGGCUGGGUUGCAUAGCAUAACAAAAUGUCACGUAAGAUCCUAUGUGAACAUUCAGUUUAACAGGCAAAACAAAUGCAACACAAAUUAUAUAAAAUUUGUGUGCUCCUUAAGCCAAUUCUCCACCCCCCCUCAAUAACCAUAAAUUACAUGAUUUAGUACAGCUCAUGUAUUUUUUAUUGAAAGUUGUUCAAAAUGCAAGAGAGCCCCCUGUCUUAGAUAGUUUAAUUUAUGGAGCGGGGCUGGUGAGCUACUCACACAUCACACAAGCUAACUGCAAUCAAGUUGAAUUACUAGAGUAACAUCACUCAUGUUAACCCCUUAAGGACUGGACUGUUUUUGCGAUGUUGUACAUUUGCAACCAGGAAUAUUUUUACACUUUUCUGGUGUUUGUGUUUAGCUGUUAUUUUCC
rnacentral:lncRNA from 1 species